CCACCCUCUCCUCCGUCCCCGACGACGACGAUGACUGAGGCGGAGGGAGAGUAUGGGCCCCAGUCCCCGCGGGUCGCCGGGAUCCGGAACGACCUGGCUGAGAUCGGGGGCAGGGUGAGGAGCGGCAUCUCGAUGCUGUCCAACGCCAACGCCGUGGCGGAGAUCUCCAAGAUCGCUUCGUCCUUCCUGCCUUUCGUGCCUGAGGAAGAGGAGGAGGAGGUGGAUGCGGUGGGCGUGACGGAGGAGGUGGUGGUGUUCGUCUGGCACAUCUCGACCUCUCCCGAGACGUGGCUCGAUUUCCCCCUCUUCGUCAACGACCGCCACGCCGAUGAUUUUGAACUGUCAGAUACACAAUAUGAACAUGCAUUGGCUAUAGAGCGUAUAGUACCAAGCUUAUCAUAUCUCAGAACCGAACUUUGUCCGACCAAUAUGAGUGAAGCAUGCUUUUGGAAGAUCUAUUUUGUGCUUCUUCACUCAAAGCUCAACAAGCAAGAUGCUGAACUUCUUUCAACGGCACAAAUCCUGGAAGCAAGAGAAGAGUUAUUGCAAAGCUCCCCAAGGAUGAAAAAUGUAGCGCCUGAGGGUCCUAGGGGCUCAUCAGCAAGCAGCAAUGUUCUAUCUACCCAAGCUGAAGAUAGAGAGUUGUCACCCUCAAGCAGCGGGGUACAGUACAGGGUCCUCUACGACUUCAUCAUGGUCUUCAACUCAUAG
rnacentral:rRNA from 1 species